rnacentral:lncRNA from 1 species
UUAUAAAUAUGUUCUUACAAAAUUUAAUUUUAUAUGUUAUUUUUAUAAAAGUUUAAAUAUUUUCAAAUAUAUUCGUAACGCUAAAAAAUUUUAGUUAACCACCUAUAGUUAACUAAAAUUUUCUAACAGCAGCAGGGACAGAUAUAUUUGAAAAAUAUUAAGACUUUUGUAAGAAUAAUAUAUGAAAAUUAAAUUUUAUACAAAUAUAUAUAUAAUUUAUUAUGUUUAUAGGGAUCUGUAUGAAAUUAACCCUAUUUUUUAAAUUAAUGAAAGUGGGUGAGGACGGGGAAUGGGGAGGUGAGGGGU